rnacentral:misc_RNA from 1 species
UAGAGCAGGUUGCGUGGGGUUUUUGGUAGAGAGUGGAGAGGAAAGGGAAUUUUGGGUGAUGGGAGGCUACGGGGAGUCGAGGACAAUUUCUGGAGUGUUUCCCGUGGACGAAUAUUAUAGGGAUGCUGUAGUCAUGGAUGUGAAGAAGAAUGGUUGUGGCAAGUGGAGGGAGGUUGGGAAUAUGUGGCAGGAAGGCGAGAGAGCAAGGCUUGGGAAGAUUGUGGUUGUUGAGGACUAUGAUGGGGACGGGCCUGGUGUUUUUAUGCUCGACAAUAAUGACAUUUUCAGAUAUGACAUGGUUUCAAACUCUUGGCAAAAAGAGUCUGGCGUACCAAGAAAAGCUCCUCGCAACUCCUCAUGUGGUUUUGUGGUGUUGAAUGGGGAGCUGCUUGUAAUGACUUUUCUGAAAGGAGGUGAUGCAACAGAAAGUCGAAGGCCACGACAGCAAAAGAGGGUAGGAUCACUUCUCAUCCAAAUUUACAAUCCUAGGAAGAAGACAUGGAGAUCACUCAUUACAAAACCGCCAUUUCAUUGCCUUUUGGAUUUUAAUACAGCAGUUAUGUGCACCAUUCAAUUGUAGACAACUACAUUUUGCUAUUAUAGAAGUCAUUAAUACCUAAAUAGUUACCCAUUUGAUGUGACAAUUUGUAUGUUAUAUGAACCUUGGUUUUUCGCUUCCCUUAUAGCAAAUGGUAUGGGUUGAUGUACAGAUAGAUAAGGUGUUACAAUUUGAUGUAUCACAUUUCAUUUUUAAAUGGAUGCAAGCGCU